GGCAGAUGAAAUGUCCCUAAAAUAGGAACACAAAAUUUAAGUAAAAAACACACACACAAUAAUGUGUUUGUCACAAGUCUUAUAAGAGCAUUACUUUGGUUUGGAAUGCUAAAUUUGUAAUAGAUACUUGCUCCCCCAUUUAACCACAAGUUGGCCAUAUAUGGACUCCCCUAGGGGUUGGCCAGGUGAUCUAGGCUUGAGACUUGAAGAGCCGGUCCCUUCCAAGGUUUCAUGUUUGAAAUGUCCUAGGUGCUAUUAAUUUCUGAGUUGGGUCAGUCUAUAUGGGGCUUUGCCCCAGUUUUAAUAGGGGCUUCCGUUAGUGGACGGCGGGAUUGGUCCCCCGGAUUAGUUGUAUCAAAAGUUGGCCAUAUGUGAAAUCUAAUGCAUGCUUCUUUUUUGUCUAUGCUUCUAUUAAUACCCUCCUGCAACACAAACCUGAUUGGAACAUGUGCAUCGAACAUUUGGCCAUGGUUCUGACUGUAUCCGGCAACCAACUGGUAAUGUGUCGGCUCUCAAGAAAUGUUGGCAUCUGCAGUUGCAUCUCCUGUAGUGAAGAACCCAAGAAAAUCUACAUUUAUGCUAAUCUUUUAGCAAAUCAUUAACCAGAAAACGGUUGCGUGUUUCAUUCAUUACCUGCAUACAAGGUGGACUAUAAGAUGUUGAUGCAUGAUUGUUUAGCAAAUAUUUCUGCAGCAUAUGGAAAGGAAUCAUCAAGUUAUGUAAACACAAUUCUUUUGAAAUUUUUGCAUUGCAUGUCUUCAUUUUUGAAUAAAUAUUAAAUACUGACCUUAGCAGAAGAGCCAAUCGAAUUAUCAAAGUGAACGAUUCGUG
rnacentral:lncRNA from 1 species